rnacentral:rRNA from 1 species
UACGAGUGCCCCGAGCGUUAUCCGGAAUCAUUGGGCGUAAAGGGUGUGUAGGUGGUCGUGUUAGUCAGUUGUUAAAGCCCGGGGCUUAACCUCGGAUCAGCAAUUGAAACGGCACGACUAGAGGAUGGCAGGGAUGUAUGGAACUCAUGGAGUAGGGGUGAAAUCCGUUGAUAUCAUGGGGAACACCAAAAGCGAAGGCAGUACGAUUGGGCCACUCCUGACACUGAAACACGAAAGCGUGGGUAGCGAAUGGG